rnacentral:rRNA from 1 species
UACGAAGGGGGCUAGCGUUGUUCGGAUUUACUGGGCGUAAAGGGCGCGUAGGCGGAUUUUUAAGUCAGGGGUGAAAUCCCAAGGCUCAACCUUGGAACUGCCUUUGAUACUGGGGAUCUUGAGUCCGGGAGAGGUGAGUGGAACUGCGAGUGUAGAGGUGAAAUUCGUAGAUAUUCGCAAGAACACCAGUGGCGAAGGCGGCGCACUGGCCCGGAACUGACGCUGAGGCGCGAAAGCGUGGGGAGCAAACAGG